UCCCUUUCACUUUAUCAACUUCAAUUUUGAAUUAUAGUUACGCCUAUGUCUGCACCUAUAUCGCCAAUUUCCGAUAACCUUAGGCGAAACUCGGUCAACACAAACAUAAAAAUCCGGCAUUUUUCCCCUAUGAUCAGACAUGUUUCCCUCAAUUGCAUAAAUCAACAUCCUCCUGAAACCCUAUCUCCCCCUCUCGAUCUCACAGUCUCCUUGAAAUUACAAUCCAUUCAAUCUGGCCCCAUGAGUUUUUUGUCGACCUCAUUGGGUUUUCAUGAAAGCUUUUAACUGGUAAUGGUGAAAUGAUUGAAGAAAGCGGUUAAUGGUGAAGACGAUUGACAAAAAUCGACUAAGAAUGCUCUCCAAAUAGAUGUCAACUGGCUUUUCAAAUUGUUAUGCAAGAGCAAUCCUGAACCGCUUGAUGAUGAUAUUUGGAACCAAGUUUGAUGAUGCACACCAAGUGCUCGAUGAAAUGCUAGAACCAAAUCUUAUUUCUUUUUUCUUAUGUGAAAAGAACGCGAAAUUUCUCACUGAUCCCAAAAGGUAAUGUUUUUUUGCGAUACAAAGUUUUAUAAAAAUAAGAAACCCCCAAGAGUACAAAGGCUCAUAUUUUAUCUAUAUUAUUUCUUCUUAUACUUCAAUGAGAGGUUUGUUACUAAUGAGAGUUUAGUAGUUUGUGUUUCAUUUGCAUUCCUGCAUUAGCAUUUAUGUUAUUCUAUACCCGUUUUAGCCUAUAUUGUUUUUAAAGAAAAUAUUUCUAAGUCUGAGAAAAAAACUGGUUAUAGGGUCAGAAUGGACAUUCAUUUGUCUCAUAUCUUAUGAUCAAGGAAAAUAUCUAUUUAAGUAUUCUUUACAAUAAAUUAUACCAUAUUUUCCAAAAAGUUGCCACAUUUGAUGAAGGUUCUUUUUUGAGUAUAUUCAUUUAUUUGUAUUUAGAUUUUUCUAAGAUUUUUAAAGUUAAUGAAGACGUAUGCAUUUAAAGCAGGGUAUGAUUUCAAUUGGGCUAAAAAAAAGCCCAAUGAUUAGGUAAAAUUACUCUUUUUUGUUAACAAUUUGGUUUUAACAAUUUUUUAUAGUUAAAUUCUUAGAUGAAGUUCUUCAUUUGAUGGGAAUGUUGGCUUGGCUUGUGCCAGUUUGGUCUGGAUUCUUUUGACUUUUAUUGAAUAAUGUUCUGGAAUAUGGUUUGGUUGAUUUUGAUUUUAACUGUCAAAUGGUGAAUUUGGAGAUAAUUUUGGUUGAUUUUGAUUUUAGUUGUUAGAUGGAAUUUCAAGAUGAUUGGAGGCUUCAGGUAAGUUACAACAUCCCAGUUAGUUUUGUGUUUCAACUCUUUGUUCUUGAUUCCUUCGUCCAAAGUUUGGAACUAUUUUUGUCGGCAAGAGAUCAAAGAUUGGAGUCGCAAAAUUUAUGGUCAAAUUGACUGCUUUUUGGUCUUCUAAUGUCAUUAAUUUUAGGACAUUUUGAUGGAGUUAGCUUCAAAUUAUUGGUGCAUCAAAAUUCUUCGCCAUCCGGUUGCAACUUCAUAAUACGUUACUAUUAAUGGUGCUAUAAUGUUACGUUUGUUAUAAAAUAUUCAUAUUUUUUGGUGUUAGUUUAUUCUACAAUUUGUGUUUUAUGGUCUAUUUUUAUAUCUUCAAUCUUUACAAAUUUUGUUUUGUAUGUUGUCUUUCUCUAAAAAAUUACCACCGUUCCAAUAA